AGUGAACGCUGGCGGUAGGCCUAACACAUGCAAGUCGAACGGCAGCACAGGAGAGCUUGCUCUCUGGGUGGCGAGUGGCGGACGGGUGAGGAAUACAUCGGAAUCUACUUUUUCGUGGGGGAUAACGUAGGGAAACUUACGCUAAUACCGCAUACGACCUACGGGUGAAAGCAGGGGAUCUUCGGACCUUGCGCGAUUGAAUGAGCCGAUGUCGGAUUAGCUAGUUGGCGGGGUAAAGGCCCACCAAGGCGACGAUCCGUAGCUGGUCUGAGAGGAUGAUCAGCCACACUGGAACUGAGACAUGGUCCAGACUCCUACGGGAGGCAGCAGUGGGGAAUAUUGGACAAUGGGCGCAAGCCUGAUCCAGCCAUACCGCGUGGGUGAAGAAGGCCUUCGGGUUGUAAAGCCCUCUUGUUGGGAAAGAAAUCCAGCUGGUUAAUACCCGGUUGGGAUGACGGUACCCAAAGAAUAAGCACCGGCUAACUUCGUGCCAGCAGCCGCAGUAA
rnacentral:rRNA from 1 species